CACCCACUAGUGUCCGCCCACAAGGCCGGGGCAGCGCCCUGCGAGGACGCAGCGGGUUGAGUCCUCUGGCUGGGCGAGGGUCUGGAACCACAAGGGGCCUCAAAUACAGCCGUUCCCCUCGCCUCUCUCCACCAGUGGGCCCCGAUGGCUCUGAGCCGGGCUGGAGGGGCCGCCGGCAGCCGGGCAAGGGUUACACAAUCCCUGCCCUCCUGUUCCCUCGGACUGGCAGACCCCAUUCCUGCCGCCAGUGCUGAAGGCUGUGCAGUGAGACGAAGCCCUGUGUACGUGCUGGGAGGCUGCGGCAGUGUCCUUGGCUGCUGCUGCUGCUGCUUGCUCGGCCACAGCCGACAAAGGCUUCCCAGCCGAAAGGGAGAUGAGAAGAUUACAUGCUGUGUGAGUGAACGGGUGAGUCACAAAGCUCCAGCUCAACGUGGAAAUGACAUCGAGGUGGUUCUUCAGCCUGGCUUGGCAGUUGGAGCCCUCUUGUGUGUUACACAUGCGGGGAGAGUCCCAGCAGCUAAGCACGCUCCAGGCGUCCCACACCAGGCCCUCUGAGACCACGUAAACAGGUUCAAACCUGACGGGUUGUGUACAAAGCCGGGACUCUCCUCACCAAUCGCAGUCCUGUAGCCUUCCAGCGGGCCCAGUAAACUAGAGAUGCAGGGAAUCUGGCUGGACCGGGCUCAGGGUGGGGCGGCCAGGUGCCUGGAAGGUGCGUUUUGAGUCAGGAAAGGCAGCUCCAGCCUGAAAUAGCUCCCUUACUGGCUUGUCAAGGAUGUUUGCGAUUUCACUGGUUCUGAGUCAUUCCUUUGUCUUUGCCACGGUCCUCUCCUUGCUUUCCUUUGUGAAUGUAGCUUGAUCUGGGACCCGGGGUUCCCUGAACCCUCCCACUAUAAGUCACAAGUCUACAAUGAGGCUCUGUUUCACCUCCUA